rnacentral:tRNA from 1 species
GAGGAUGUAGCUCAAGUGGUAGAGUAGAUGCUUUGCACAUGAGAGGUGCAGGGUUCAAUCCCCUGAAUCUCCA